rnacentral:rRNA from 1 species
UACGUAAGGGGGCUAGCGUUGUUCGGAAUCACUGGGCGUAAAGGGCGCGUAGGCGGCUUUAUAAGUCGGGGGUGAAAGCCUGUGGCUCAACCACAGAAUUGCCUUCGAUACUGUAGAGCUUGAGACCGGAAGAGGUAAGUGGAACUGCGAGUGUAGAGGUGAAAUUCGUAGAUAUUCGCAAGAACACCAGUGGCGAAGGCGGCUUACUGGUCCGGUUCUGACGCUGAGGCGCGAAAGCGUGGGGAGCAAACAGG